UACGUAGGGUGCGAGCGUUAAUCGGAAUUACUGGGCGUAAAGCGUGCGCAGGCGGUUGUGCAAGACAGGCGUGAAAUUCCCGGGCUUAACCUGGGAAUGGCGCUUGUGACUGCACGGCUGGAGUGCGGCAGAGGGGGAUGGAAUUCCGCGUGUAGCAGUGAAAUGCGUAGAUAUGCGGAGGAACACCGAUGGCGAAGGCAAUCCCCUGGGCCUGCACUGACGCUCAUGCACGAAAGCGUGGGGAGCAAACAGG
rnacentral:rRNA from 1 species